GCGGAUGUGGCGAAACAGGAGACGCAGCAGGGCGAGAACCUGCCGGUGGCAACAUCAUGGAGGUGCAAAUCCUCUCAUCCGCACCA
rnacentral:tRNA from 1 species